ACGGUCCAUCAGUAAUCCUACCUACGAGCCCAUGACCCAUCGAGGCAAAAAAUAGAACAUAACGCAUGCCUCUUCGGUACAAAAGGCGGCAACGCGGGCACAACCUCCUUCGCAUUGUUUGCACUCCAGCGGCAGACCAAACCCUCCCUGAUCUGUUCACGAGGGGAGAGAGCGAGCGGAGCGACCGAGGAAGAGACAUCAAAGAGAAGAGAAGGAGCGGGCGAGAACGGGAAAAGUGGCCGUUUUUCUCUCCUUUCGGGCAUCGCCGCAGCGUCGUCUCCCCUCGAUUCCGAGCAAGUUCAGAGCAUCGGGCUUUGUGGGCUAAUGCAGUAUUCAUCAACAAGACCAUCAGUUAUUUUAAGUCAGCUGCUGCCUUGUUUGCUUUGCAAGGCUAGAAGUUUAUUGAAGAAUAGAGAAUUAUCUUUACAUUGCAGGUGCAUCUAUCUACACAUAUAAACUAGUGUGUUAUUUAUAAUGAACAUAAUGUGCAAGGCUAUUCUAAAUUUUUUGGCAUAUUAAGUCGUCUUUAGUUGGGUAAAUUUUUUAGCUGCAUCAUGAAUCACGAAUGCAUUUAUAGUCUUCCUGAAAGAUCCUUGUCUCCAUUUUCUAAGGACUGUAGGAGACAAGCCUCUUAAAUCGUGUUUGUUCCCUAAGAGGGAUUUUUGUAUCCUAUAUUUUUUUAAUAUUCAUCCCUGUUACCUACUUAUCUUAUCAGAUAUAGGGACAUAGAUCUCCUGCUGUCCUUUACUAUAAUGGUAUUUGCAUUGCUUCUUCUGCAAUAGCAAUACACAUAAUUAUUUUGUUGAAUGGUGUAAUGAUGUUGAAUGACAAUGUCAUUAGUUUGUUAUCAUUUAGACGUGCUUGGGUAAAUAUCACAUGAACAAUUACAUUAUAGUGAAUAUUUUUGGGGUCCUUUUAAACAGCAUUUUUCCCAGAAUUGAGGUUUUAUGUGAUGAGAUAGUAUAUACUGGUUAAGUAUUUCUUUUUGACAGAGAUUAUUUGGGUGGCAUGUAAGAAGGUUGAGUAGGGAGGGUUUAUUCGUAUUUUUCCCAAAAUGGCAAGCUUAUUUCACUGACAGAUGCUGCCCCAGAUGCAUUUAUUUGUAUUUUUUACAGAUUUUGAAAGUUUGUCAGGGUCCUCAGAGAUUUGGAUCCUUUAGUGCCUUUUCAUUUUAAUCCAAUCCAAUUAUUCGUAUCUACUAUUGAUGUUAGUCUUACCGCUAUUUUAGUGUUUGCUGCUGCUUAAAUCUCUGUUGGGAAUGGCCAGCAAUCCGCAGUCUUCUGGGGCACAGCCCCUUAGGCCUGCAGUGGUGGAGUCCACAGGUCCACCUCAAAAUUUUGGUCCACCAAUGGGAGGAUAUGUGGAUAAGAGAAGUGAAGCUGUCAUUGAAAAAGUAUUCAGCUGAAUACUCCAAAAAAUAUGGUUAUGCCUCCACCUCAGAUGCUCCACCACGUGAUUAUGACUUGUGGUUUAAGGCAACUGGUGUCCCAACUCAUGGCCAUGUCUAUGGCUUUAGUUUCCUGGAGGAUCUCACUAAAAUUAUUGGGCAAUCAUCAUCCUCUUCCACCUCUAUAAGUCAAGCUCCAGUGCUGUACACGCGUGAAGACCUUCUAGGUAUUUUUGAGCACGAAAAGAAAAAAUGGCAAGAGGAGGUUCUUCAAAAGAUGAGAGAAGAGAUUGGCUUUAGACCAAAGCAUGCAGAUCAAGGGAGUAAUGAUGAUUCUGGUUCUGCUGAUCAUGCUUCAUUAUGAUGUUUCUCUAUGACAUACUUUUGAACUUUGAUUUUGAUGGAUUUAGGAUAUGUUGAUGCCUAUUUUGAAUGACAUGUUAAAUGACUUUUGCGUAAUGUUGAAUGCUUUUGCUAUUAAUGAUAUUAUUAUUAUGAGCCAAUCAAUGUACUAAAUGUACCAGGUUAUUGGAAUGUAAUCAGUGACCAAAUUUGGUUACUGAAUUGUUUACCAA